rnacentral:rRNA from 1 species
GACGUAGGGCGCGAGCGUUAAUCGGAAUUACUGGGCGUAAAGCGUGCGCAGGCGGUUUUGCAAGCCGGAUGUGAAAUCCCCGGGCUUAACCUGGGAAUGGCAUUUGGGACUGCAAGGCUGGAGUGCGGCAGAGGAGACUGGAAUUCCUGGUGUAGCAGUGAAAUGCGUAGAUAUCAGGAGGAACACCGAUGGCGAAGGCAGGUCUCUGGGCUGACACUGACGCUCAUGCACGAAAGCGUGGGGAGCAAACAGG